CUAGAGAUGGCUCAGUGGUUAGAGGGCACUGGUUGCUCUUCCAGAGGACCUGGGUUCGAUUCCUAGUAUCCAUA
rnacentral:tRNA from 1 species